GUGUUUGGUUCGGUGCAUAUGACCGAACCAGGCUCCCGGGGUGCAGCCCAGCUGCGAUUGGUUGCCUGGACGCGGUCCAGGGCCUGGCUCCCGUCAUGCAAUUUUGCCCCCUCCGUCUGCAUCUGGAGAAACGCCCGUGGGCUCCGUUUCUCGGGAGCCAGGCGCGCGAGCUGCGAGGGCGGGCGAUGACGGCCAGAAAAUUUUGCUCCGCGCGUGCAGGCGGGAGAUGGGGAGGCGCGCGCGGGAACGCUAGGGUUACCGCCGUCCCUUUCCCGCCAUCCCUCCUCGUUAUAUGCUCACCAUCGCGACCCCUCUUCCCCAUUCUUGAGCUCGCGCUCGCCCUCUUCCUCUCCGCUUUCUCUUCUGUUUCCUGCUGUCUGGUCGCCGAGUUCCUCAUCGUGGUAGCUGGAUUGUGGCUCGAUUCGUCGGUGUUUUGAGGCAAAUCUUGGCCGGAUCUGUGCUGGUUGAUCUCGUUGGAGUUGAAAAG